rnacentral:rRNA from 1 species
UACGGGGGGAGCAAGCGUUGUUCGGAUCUACUGGGCGUAAAGGGCGCGUAGGCGGCCAGCACAAGUCAGUUGUGAAAUCUCCGAGCUUAACUCGGAAAGGUCAACUGAUACUGUGCGGCUAGAGUGCGGAAGGGGCAACUGGAAUUCUUGGUGUAGCGGUGAAAUGCGUAGAUAUCAGGAGGAACACCGGUGGCGAAGGCGGGUCUCUGGGCAGUAACUGACGCUGAGGAGCGAAAGCGUGGGGAGCGAACAGG